rnacentral:rRNA from 1 species
GGUUGAUCCUGCCAGUAGUCAUAUGCUUGUUUCAAAGAUUAAGCCAUGCAUGUCUAAGUAUAAACACCUUUAUACUGUGAGACUGCGUACAGCUCAUUAAAUCAGUAAUUAUUUAUUUGAUGGUACCUUUCUACAUGGAUACCCGUAGUAAUUCUAGAGCUAAUACAUGCACAGAGGAGCGACUCGCAAGGGAAGCUCUGCAUUUAUUAGAUUCAAAAACCAAUGCAGGUUCUGCCUGGUUUCUGGUGAUUCAUGAUAACUGAGCGGACCACACGGCCUCGCGCCGGUGGCAG